rnacentral:rRNA from 1 species
UGCUGACAUAAGUAACGAUAAAGCGGGUGAAAAGCCCGCUCGCCGGAAGACCAAGGGUUCCUGUCCAACGUUAAUCGGGGCAGGGUGAGUCGACCCCUAAGGCGAGGCCGAAAGGCGUAGUCGAUGGGAAACAGGUUAAUAUUCCUGUACUUGGUGUUACUGCGAAGGGGGGACGGAGAAGGCUAUGUUGGCCGGGCGACGGUUGUCCCGGUUUAAGCGUGUAGGCUGGUUUUCCAGGCAAAUCCGGAAAAUCAAGGCUGAGGCGUGAUGACGAGGCACUACGGUGCUGAAGCAACAAAUGCCCUGCUUCCAGGAAAAGCCUCUAAGCAUCAGGUAACAUCAAAUCGUACCCCAAACCGACACAGGUGGUCAGGUAGAGAAUACCAAGGCGCUUGAGAGAACUCGGGUGAAGGAACUAGGCAAAAUGGUGCCGUAACUUCGGGAGAAGGCACGCUGAUAUGUAGGUGAAGCGACUUGCUCGUGGAGCUGAAAUCAGUCGAAGAUACCAGCUGGCUGCAACUGUUUAUUAAAAACACAGCACUGUGCAAACACGAAAGUGGACGUAUACGGUGUGACGCCUGCCCGGUGCCGGAA